AUUGAACGCUGGCGGAAUGCUUUACACAUGCAAGUCGAACGGCAGCACGGACUUCGGUCUGGUGGCGAGUGGCGAACGGGUGAGUAAUGUAUCGGAACGUGCCCAGUCGUGGGGGAUAACGUAGUGAAAAUUACGCUAAUACCGCAUACGAUCUAUGGAUGAAAGCGGGGGAUCGCAAGACCUCGCGCGAUUGGAGCGUCCGAUAUCAGAUUAGGUAGUUGGUGGGGUAAAGGCCCACCAAGCCAACGAUCUGUAGCUGGUCUGAGAGGACGACCAGCCACGCUGGAACUGAGACACGGUCCAGACUCCUACGGGAGGCAGCAGUGGGGAAUUUUGGACAAUGGGCGAAAGCCUGAUCCAGCCAUUCCGCGUGCAGGAUGAAGGCCCUCGGGUUGUAAACUGCUUUUGUACAGAACGAAAAGGUUUCUACUAAUACUAGGAGCUCAUGACGGUACUGUAAGAAUAAGCACCGGCUAACUACGUGCCAGCCGCCGCGGUAA
rnacentral:rRNA from 1 species